rnacentral:rRNA from 1 species
AUUGAACGCUGGCGGCAUGCCUUACACAUGCAAGUCGAACGGCAGCACGGGUGCUUGCACCUGGUGGCGAGUGGCGAACGGGUGAGUAAUACAUCGGAACAUGUCCUGUAGUGGGGGAUAGCCCGGCGAAAGCCGGAUUAAUACUGCAUACGCUCUACGGAUGAAAGCGGGAGACCUUCGGGCCUCGCGCUAUCGGGUUGGCCGAUGGCUGAUUAGCUAGUUGGUGGGGUAAAGGCCUACCAAGGCGACGAUCAGUAGCUGGUCUGAGAGGACGACCAGCCACACUGGGACUGAGACACGGCCCAGACUCCUACGGGAGGCAGCAGUGGGGAAUUUUGGACAAUGGGCGAAAGCCUGAUCCAGCAAUGCCGCGUGGGUGAAGAAGGCCUUCGGGUUUUAAAGCACUUUUGUCCGGAAAGAAAUCCUUGGCCCUAAUACGGUCGUGGGAUGACGGUACCGGAAGAAUAAGCACCGGCUAACUACGUG